UACGUAGGGUCCAAGCGUUAUCCGGAAUCACUGGGCGUAAAGCGUGCGUAGGUGGAUUGUUAAGUGCGAUGCGAAAUCCUAUGGCUCAACCAUAUGGACUGUAUCGCAUACUGGCUAUCUAGAGGACAUGAGAGGCAAGUGGAAUUACUGGUGUAGCAGUGAAAUGCGUAGAGAUCAGUAGGAACACCAAUGGCGAAGGCAGCUUGCUGGCAUGUAUCUGACGCUAAGGCACGAAAGCGUGGGGAGCAAACAGG
rnacentral:rRNA from 1 species